UACGUAGGGUGCAAGCGUUGUCCGGAAUUAUUGGGCGUAAAGCGUGCGUAGGUGGUUUGUUAAGUCUGAUGUGAAAGCCCUGGGCUCAACCUGGGAACUGCAUUGGAAACUGGCUUACUAGAGUGCGGUAGAGGGGUGUGGAAUUCCCGGUGUAGCAGUGAAAUGCGUAGAUAUCGGGAGGAACAUCUGUGGCGAAGGCGGGUAGCUGGGCCGAAAUUGACGCUGAGGAGCGAAAGCGUGGGGAGCAAACAGG
rnacentral:rRNA from 1 species